UACGGAGGGUGCGAGCGUUGUCCGGAAUCACUGGGCGUAAAGGGCGCGUAGGCGGUGCGAGAAGCGUGUGGUGAAAGGCCGGGGCUCAACCCCGGCUCGGCCGUGCGGACUCUCGCGCUUGGUGAGUGCUGUAGAGGCGGGCGGAAUUCCGGGUGUAGCGGUGGAAUGCGUAGAGAUCCGGAAGAACACCGGUGGCGAAGGCGGCCCGCUGGGCAGUGACUGACGCUGAGGCGCGACAGCGUGGGGAGCAAACAGGG
rnacentral:rRNA from 1 species